rnacentral:rRNA from 1 species
AAUAGAUACCCGGGUAGUCCACGCCGUAAACGGUGGGCACUAGAUGUGGGGCUCUUUCCAUGAGUUCCGCGUCGCAGCUAACGCAUUAAGUGCCCCGCCUGGGGAGUACGGCCGCAAGGCUAAAACUCAAAGGAAUUGACGGGGGCCCGCACAAGCGGCGGAGCAUGCGGAUUAAUUCGAUGCAACGCGAAGAACCUUACCAAGGCUUGACAUAUACGGUCUAUCCCUAGAGAUAGGGAGUGCUUCGGCGCCGUAUACAGGUGGUGCAUGGUUGUCGUCAGCUCGUGUCGUGAGAUGUUGGGUUAAGUCCCGCAACGAGCGCAACCCUCGUCCUAUGUUGCCAGCGGAUAAUGCCGGGGACUCAUGGGAGACUGCCGGGGUCAACUCGGAGGAAGGUGGGGAUGAGGUCAAAUCAUCAUGCCCCUUAUGUCUUGGGCUUCACGCAUGCUACAAUGGCCGGUACAAAGGGCUGCAAUACCGCGAGGUGGAGCGAAUCCCAAAAACGCCGGUCUCAGUUCGGA